rnacentral:lncRNA from 1 species
UGUAGGGUAUACUGACUUAUGCCACACGGCCAAGUCACACGCCAGUGUGUGAGGCCAUGUGGAGCAUACUAAAUUGAUUUCAAAUUCAACACCAGGGGACACACGGCUGUGUACUUAACCGUGUAUCACACACGGCUGUGUACUUAACCGUGUAUCACACACGGCUGAGACACACGUCCAUGUCUCUGACCGUGUGGACAAAAAUAGGCUAUUUACCAAGCCAUUUUGC